GAGGGUAUAGCUCAGUGGUAGAAUGCACGCCUAGCAUGCAUGAGGUCCUGGGUUCAAUUCCCAGUACCUCUA
rnacentral:tRNA from 1 species